GAUGAACGCUGGCGGCGUGCCUAAUACAUGCAAGUCGAGCGAACGGACGAGAAGCUUGCUUCUCUGAUGUUAGCGGCGGACGGGUGAGUAACACGUGGAUAACCUACCUAUAAGACUGGGAUAACUUCGGGAAACCGGAGCUAAUACCGGAUAAUAUUUUGAACCGCAUGGUUCAAAAGUGAAAGACGGUGUUGGUGUCACUUAUAGAUGGAUCCGCGCUGCAUUAGCUAGUUGGUAAGGUAACGGCUUACCAAGGCAACGAUGCAUAGCCGACCUGAGAGGGUGAUCGGCCACACUGGAACGGAGACACGGUCCAGACUCCUACGGGAGGCAGCAGUAGGGAAUCUUCCGCAAUGGGCGGAAGCCUGACGGAGCAACGCCGCGUGAGUGAUGAAGGUCUUCGGAUCGUAAAACUCUGUUAUUAGGGAAGAACAUAUGUGUAAGUAACUGUGCACAUCUUGACGGUACCUAAUCAGAAAGCCACGGCUAACUACGUG
rnacentral:rRNA from 1 species